rnacentral:tRNA from 1 species
GGUCGGUUAGCUCAGUGGGUUGAGUGUGGUGCUGACAACAAUGACAACACCAAGGUCGUGGGUUCAAUUCCCGCUCGGUCCC